rnacentral:rRNA from 1 species
GAUGAACGCUGGCGGCGUGCCUAAUACAUGCAAGUCGAGCGAACAGACGAGGAGCUUGCUCCUCUGACGUUAGCGGCGGACGGGUGAGUAACACGUGGAUAACCUACCUAUAAGACUGGGAUAACUUCGGGAAACCGGAGCUAAUACCGGAUAAUAUAUUGAACCGCAUGGUUCAAUAGUGAAAGACGGUUUUGCUGUCACUUAUAGAUGGAUCCGCGCCGCAUUAGCUAGUUGGUAAGGUAACGGCUUACCAAGGCAACGAUGCGUAGCCGACCUGAGAGGGUGAUCGGCCACACUGGAACUGAGACACGGUCCUGACUCCUACGGGAGGCAGCAGUAGGGAAUCUUCCGCAAUGGGCGAAAGCUUGACGGAGCAACGCCGCGUGAGUGAUGAAGGUCUUCGGAUCGUAAAACUCUGUUAUUAGGGAAGAACAAAUGUGUAAGUAACUAUGCACGUCUUGACGGUACCUAAUCAGAAAGCCACGGCUAACUACGUG